rnacentral:rRNA from 1 species
GCAUGCAAGUCGAGCGAGUCUACCUUGUAGCAAUACUAGGUAAGUCGAGCGGCGUAAGGGGCAGUAAUACCUGGGAACGUACCCUGAGGUCGGGGAUAGCUGCUAGAAAUGGCGAGUAAUACCCGAUGAUCUCGAGAGAGCAAAGGCUUGCCGCCUUCGGAGCGGCCCAGGCGAUAUUAGCUAGUUGGUGAGGUAAUGGCUUACCAAGGCUUAGAUGUCUAGCGGGUGUGAGAGCACGACCCGCGCCACUGGCACUGAGACACUGGCCAGACACCUACGGGUGGCUGCAGUCGAGAAUCUUCGGCAAUGAGCGCAAGCUUGACCGAGCGACGCCGCGUGCGGGAUGAAGGCCUUCGGGUUGUAAACCGCUUUGGUCCGAGAGAAAGGGCAACUUGAUCGAUCGGAGAAACAAGGACGGGCUAAGUUCGUGCCAGCAGCCGCGGUAAGACGAACCGUCCAAACGUUAUUCGGAAUUACUGGGCUUAAAGGGCGCGUAGGCGGCCGAGCGGGUCACGGGUGAAAUCCUCCAGCUUAACUGGAGAACUGCCCUUGAUACCACUGCGGCUCGAGGAAGGAAGGGGCAAUCGGAACUGUCGGUGGAGCGGUGAAAUGCGUUGAUAUCGACAGGAACGCCGGUGGCGAAAGCGGAUUGCUGGUCCUUUUCUGACGCUGAGGCGCGAAAG